AGGAUGAACAGCUCCAGUGGCGGGGCAGCUCUGGAAACCUGGAUUCAGCUCCGGCAGGAACUCCGGAGGUCUCCGUCUGCAGGGCCUGGAGGCUCCGGGGCGGG
rnacentral:pre_miRNA from 1 species